CUCAAAGCCCAUCUAUGCUGCAGCACAGAGGAAUACUUCAUUCCUUUUUAUUGCCAAACAAUACUCCAUUGUAUGGAUAUAUUGGUUGGCCAAAAAGUUCGUUUGGGUUUUUCCAUAACAUCAUGCAGGAGAACCUGAAUGAACUUUUUGGCCAACCCCAUGUUAUAUUCUAUUCAUCCAUUCAUUCAUUGGUGGACAUUUAGAUUGUUUCUACAUCUUAGAUAUUGUGAAUAAUGCUACGAUGAACAUUUGGUACAAGUGUUUGUGUAGACAUACAUUUUUAUUUCUCUUGAGUACUCCAAUACUUUGGCCACCUGAUGUGAAGAACUGACUCAUUUGAAAAGACCCUGAUGCUGAGAAAGAUCGAAGGCGGGAGAAGGAGACGACAGAGGAUGAGAUGGUUGGAAAGCAUCACCGACUUGAUGGACAUGAAUUUGAGUAAGCUCCAGGAGUUGGUGAUGAACAGGCAAGCCUGGCGUGCUGCAGCAUAUGGGGUUGCAAAGAAUCAGAAUGACUGAGCGACUGAACAGAACUGAACUGAGUGCUUAUCAGUGAAAAUGGAGUAACCACAUAUUGGAAAUCUAAGGAGGAAUUCUAUUUAGACGACAUUUAGUGUGAGUGCAUCAUAUGUCGGUGGCUUUCAGCUAUCACUAGCUCUCCCAGGUUGGAAUGGCUAUCAGGAAUAAACCCACUGCCCACUGAAGGAAUUCACCCAGUACCAAACACCAAAAGGGACAGGGGUGAUACUGAAAAGUGAGUCUGUCCUACAGCCCCUGGCACCUGAACUAUGUACACAGUCAACGAGAAACCGAGUUUGAAAAGGGGAAGCCAGAAGAACCUAGUCUGCGGAAAAUGCUUCAAGUCAUAAAAAAUGCAAGUUGUGAGCAGAAGAAAAAUGGACGUUCUCUUCUUUCAGAGAAAUAUUUAAUAAUGUGGCAUUUGCAACUAUACAAGUACCAUACUUUAUUUCUUUCCAUUUUGGUGGGAAGCAUGGAAAAUAGAAUUUACCUGAAUUCCUUCACUUUUAGAGCACAAAUCUACAAUUGGUGAGUGUAUCUGUGAGGCGUGUGCCAUCACACCGUGUGUUCUCAUGACCCAUUCUUCGUGCACAUGUUGGAGAGAAAUCAUGAACUCUCUGAUGUCUGUCCACCAUAAAAGGCAUUAAUCCCACCAGGAGGACUCCAGCCUCAUCACCUCAUUUAACCCUAAUUACCCCCCAAAAGUUCCAUCUCCAAAUGCCAUCACAUUGGGAGUGUUAAGGUUUCAACAUAUGAACUGGGUGGGGGGCAGGGCAUAAACAUAUCAAAUGUGUGUACAAUAAUUAAAUUAUUAUGUACUUAGUGAUAUUAUGAUAUAUGACAGCUCUUUAAUAUUUGCAAUGUAUUGUGAUUAAGUUUCUCUUUCCAAAUGUACCUUCAAUUUCACACCUAAUUUUGUUUUAAUGAUUUUAAAAUCUUUCUCUCAAAGAUGAUCCCAGCCCAACAAAAUCUAGACCCCCUCUUGCCUUUACCGUCACCUUCCCACACCCCUUAUCCUCAAGUUCUGUCAUAUCUAAAGCUGCCCAUCUUGCACAAAACAACAGCCUCCCUGUGCAGACAACCUCUCUACAUGCAUUUCUAUCUAUUCUCAAGAUUCUAAAUCACAAAUCUCAAAAACAAGUUUGAUGGAAGCAACCUGAAUGUUGAUUGACAGAUAAAUGAAUAAGGAAGAUCUGGGACAAAUAUAUAAUGGAAUAUGACUCAGCCAUAAAAAGGAUGAAAUAAUGUCAUUUGUAGCAACAUAGGUGGAUCUAGAGAUGAUCAUACUAAGUGAAGUAAGUCAGACAAAGACAAAUAUCACAUGCUAUCACGCACAUGUUGAAACUAAAAAAAAAGAUGAUACAAAUGAACUUAUUUCAAAAACAGAAAUUGACGCAUAGGCAACAAAUUUGUAGUUACCAAAGGAGAAAAGGAGGGGCGGGACAAAUUAGUAGUAGGGAUUAACAUAUACACACUACUAUAUAUAAAAUAGAAAAACAAAGACCUACUGUAUAGAACAGAAAACUACACUCAAUAUUUCAUAAUAACCUGUAAUGGAAAAGAAUCUGAAAAAGUUAUAUAUAUGUAUAUACAUAUAUAUAUACACACACACAAGAAUAUUUAUACACAAAUAUAUAUAUAUACACUCAAAUGAAAAUUUAUAUAUAUAUAUAUAUACACACAUAUAUAACAAAUAUGUUCUUGCCUGGAAAAUCUCAGUGAUGGGGGAGCCUGGUGCGAUUCCGUCUAUGGGGUUGCAUAGAGUCGGAC
ensembl:lncRNA